UACGUAGGGCGCAAGCGUUGUCCGGAAUUAUUGGGCGUAAAGAGCUCGUAGGCGGCUUGUCACGUCGGAUGUGAAAGCCCGGGGCUUAACCCCGGGUCUGCAUUCGAUACGGGCUAGCUAGAGUGUGGUAGGGGAGAUCGGAAUUCCUGGUGUAGCGGUGAAAUGCGCAGAUAUCAGGAGGAACACCGGUGGCGAAGGCGGAUCUCUGGGACGGUACUGACGCUGAGACGCGAAAGCGUGGGGAGCGAACAGG
rnacentral:rRNA from 1 species